CUCUGACACCGGAAAGGUUCCAGAACAUUAAGGACAGGGGAGAUGUUUGGAGGGAGAAAAAGACCAGUGCACUGUAAGAUUCCCACUUUCCUGACUUCUUUAAGACCCUCCUCAUUUCCAACCUGCUGGCCCAUGAGGCACCUUUGACAGGUCAGAAAAAGGCACCCCUUUCUUCAGACAGCACAGCCCCUGGUUGGGGUGGGGGAAGGUACAGGACCCUGAUUUAAGCUCCCAUCUGCAGCCUUGAUCUGGCACAGUGAACAAUCAUGAAUCAUCAUCGCUAGCGGCUGGAGAAAAGGAUGAGAGAGAGAUUCACUCUCUCUGUAUACUCUUUUGUAUUCUUUGAUUUUUAUAUUCUGUGCUACGUCUGACCUCUUCAAAAAUAAGGGAAUGAAAACAAAACUUUGAAGAGACAGCCAUGAGACCAGCGCUGUGCUGAGAAUGGCAUGCACUGCCUCUUCCCAGUCUCUCAAUGGUAACGGCUUAAUAUUUACCCAUGACUCACUCUGUUCACUGGGGUAGACCAGGGCUUCUCAACCUUGGUAUCAUUGACAUUUUGGGUCUCACUGCUCUUGGCUGUGCGGGCUGUCCUCUGUACUGUAGGAUAUUCAGCAGUACCCACGGCCUCUACCCACUAGAUGCCCGUAGCACACCUACUCCCCGAACCCAAAAAUCUUCUGACAUUGCCAAAUGUCCCCUGUGGGAGUGGGCAUGCAAAAUCACCAGGAUGACCCCACUGGUGUGGACUCAAGCACUAGCCCCCAGUGCUGGCACAAAGGUGAUGCUUAGUGGAUGUUGAAUGAAUGAGAGGCUCCUUCACCGGGACUCUUUCCUGGGCCCCACCUACCACCAGCUCUUGCUUCUGAACAGAGCGUGGCCUUCAGAAAGCUCCAGCCUACACAGUUCUGCUCUAAGCCCGUCUGCAGGCAGCUCAGGCUGGACCCACUGGCUUCGCUGCCCCAUGUGUGAGGGCGUAACCAGCUGGAUCCAGGCAGCUCCCGCUCCUCCCUGGGGCUUCCUUAAGUAAAUGCGGUAUCGACCACCUCUCUCUCCCCCUCUCUGCUCCUUUCAGGGAUUCCACGAGCAGCUCUGAUCCUGCCUUGGCUGUGAAGCCAUUGAUUGGGAUAAAUUAUUGAUGCCACCAAAUGAGAAGGGGUCUGCUGCUAUAGGGAUCGUCACCUUUGCCUCUUGAUUAGAGAAGGCAGGUUCAGGGCAGAAGGCAUCUGGCAAGAGAUGCUUCUAAAACAUGCAUCCCAGCAUUGCACGCAAGCAAAUUUGGGGUGAGGAUGCACCCCAUCUGUGGCAGUCAGACUCAUGGUCCAGCCACUAUUCAUCCAGCCAAUAAACGUGCCUUUUUUUUAGAUUAAGCCAGUUUGAGCUGGGUUUGUGUUGCUCACCCCCAAGGAAGUUCUAUAACUCCUCCCACAUCAUGUGGCCCCCUUCUUCCAGGAAGUCCUCCCUCCCCAAUGUCUAGGCAUGUGGGUGCCACCCAAGAUGGCCAGGAGCUUUAGUGGAAUCCACUUGUCUCUCGUGGAUCAUUAUCAUUGUUAAGGAUGCCCAGGAGGUGUCUAGGAUGAUCAGGAGGGCUCCUCACAGCCCCACAGGAUGAAGUGGAGCCUGGCUCAUCUAGGAUUUCUGGGGAGAUUCAGAAUUGCCCUCUAGAGUUUUCUACUGCUGCCACAGUGACAAUGACAAUAACUAACUCACGGUGCUCACCACACUGCAGGCAUACCUUCACGCACGGCACACAUACGAAUGCCUUAUAAUCUGCAUAAUGACGCUGCGAGCCUGGUACUACUACUAUCUCUGUGGAGGUCAGCUGGCUUGUUGGAGGUCACAGAGCUAGAAAGUGGUGGAGUGAAGCGGCAAACAAUUGUACUCUUGUUACUUGGGCUCUUACUACACACCAGGGCUCUAGAAAUGUCACCUGGUGAGUGAACCCUUGCUGGCCAGUCUCUUGCUGCCCCCCCCCCCAUUAUACUCUACACCAGUCCUGAUUUUGUCUUUGUAGCAUAUGCCACAAUUUUCCAAAUAUUUUAUUACCUUUGGGUCCACUCCCUGCUCUCCCGUGUCCAGGACUGUGUCUGUCUCGUUCUGCACUGAUCUGCUAGCACCUGCCGCAUGGUUCGACAGCCCAGCUGCCGAACCAAUGAAUCGGUAAGAGUAGUUUCAACCCUCAUGUUACUCCUGAAGGACAGGUGUUCUCAUUGCUCUCUUACAGAGGAAAGAACUGAUGGCCUGAAAGGUUCAAGUCCAAGUCAAAUCAAGCCAAGUCCAUCCUCAGAUGGCCAACAGCAGCAGGGUCACCAGGGAGCUCCCUGGAAAUGCAGACCCUUGGUGGGGUUGGGCCUAGCCCCCUCCAUUUUAACAAGCCCGCCAGGCAAGCUCCAAAUGUGCUCAGACCCUUGGGCACACAGAAGUGUGAGAAGCUUGGACCCAUGCAGCCGGGGAAGCCAGGAGCCAUGGCCCCAGUACGCUCUGCCUCGCCAACUCUGCCAGGGACCAAGCAGGUGGCUCCCACUUGUCAGAGGGGCCAGAAGCCUCCGGCAGGUGGUGAAGCAGCACGCUCCAUUUCUCCACGAGCUAGGGCCUGCAGAGGCUGGAAAGAAUGCAGGUAAGAUUCCUGGUGAGAGGACAGUGCUGCCUGCCUGAAGGCCACGGGCUGGGCUAGCCCUCCCAGCCCAGCUCCUUACCGAGCAGGGCGAACUUCCGAGAGAGAUCUUCUGGUUUCAAGUUCUGCCCCUGCCACCUGCUAGUACCCUGUGACCCUGGACAAACGGAUUUAACCUUUCUUGCCUCAGGUUCCUCCUCUGCAAACUAGGGGUGUGUUCACGGUACCCAUCCUGUAGGAUUGUUGUGCUUAAAAUAAUGAGGUUUUAGGACAGUAGUUGACACAGGGUAAGCACUUACAUAAACUAUCUGUUAAAUAAAUAGAAAUGAUUGGCAACUAUUCCCUCGUCAGAGGUUAUGAACUUUGCUGACUGCUUCUCCAGGAGGAGCAGUUGCCAUGGAGAUGGGGUGCGAAGGGGGCUCACCCAGGUGUUUGUCCGCUAUUGGUUUUCAGCCUCCCCCAUCACGCCAGGCGAAGAGGAUCCCUGAGGUGGUGUGAAUGGGAGAUGCCUUUGGUGGGAGUCUGCCCUGGGAACCUCUAAACUCACCCGAUCCCCAAACCAGGAGCUCUAAGUGGAGGCCUCACUGUGAAGGUGGUUUUCCCAUGGGAAACCCAGGCCAAUCUAGGAGCCCUCACACACACACACACACACACACACACACACACACACACACACACGGUCUUCCGGUCAAGAAGUCAGGGUGAGGACCCCCAGAGAUCAGACACUGGCCAUUCUCUUGGGAACUAGCGUCCCCAUCUACCCACUACCCACAUGAUAUGGGAAGGGGGAUGCUAGAACAUGGAAGGGAAAGAAAAAAAUGAGCAGGCGGGGAGGGGGCUUCCUACGUCUGGGCAUAGUCAAUAGUUUGGUACAGAUGAAUGCCUGGCACAGAAUUUAUACACUUUCAUCAGUCUCCUCUAGAGUGACGCCAGACCUAACUAUGGGACAUGGGGCAUUACUUAACCUCUCUGACCCUCAGUCUCUUCCUCUAUAAAAGACAAAGAUAGCGCCGCCUUCACAAAGCCAGUGAGAAAAGUACAUGAAAAAUAAUCUCUGCAAGGUGCUUGUCCCCCAGGGAAUACAGGAUCCCUGCUUAUUAAAAAGACAAUCAUGAUUCCAUCGUCUUUCCUCUCGGGAAAAUGAGAGGUGGGACCCCUUUGCCAGAGGCUUACUGGAAUUCACAGGCCAAGCUGGGACUAGAACUCAUUUCCCCCAACUCCUGACCCCAGGCCUUUCCACUGCAUCUCUGGUUUGAGGCCUCACCCGUGACUGGCAGAAGGCCAGGAUGAGGCUGUGGAGCCGGUCUCCCCACACACUCCAGCAUCACACUCUGUCCCAGCCCACUCCCCUUAGAGCCAAUGGUGCAUUUCCUGCUCUGCAAGAUUAAACUGUUACAAGGUUUCCUGACAUUAAGCUCUUUCCCAGACCCACAAUCUCACCCUCUAAUACCUUUUCCAAGUUACACCAUCUCAUAAUCUUCAUUUCCUAAUGCUGCCCAGACCACCAGCCUAUUUGGGGGCCCUUGAAUUUAAUAACCCUCCUGGGUUAGUAAACAGGGUUGCCAGAACACAAGCUCCAUGAUCCAUGAAUAUGCAAAGCAGCUCGAAUCCUGUAAAUAAAAGCAAUCAUUUAAAUGCAAA